CGGAUGUCAGCGGUAGCGUUGCGCCGGAGGAAGCCUGUCGAGAAGGCAGUUCUUUAUUUAUAGAAGGGUGAGGGAUGUCUCCCAAAAAUCUAAGAGGAGCGGAGACAGAGUGGAGCCCUGCUGCGUGGGGAAAGAAUCCGUUUCCUAUCCAGAUAGAAGAAACGCAUCAUAGCGAGGAGCAGCCUGGUGGGAGGGAGUGAACCCGUGAGCCCCGUUCUCUUCAGGAGUGCCAGGAUGUGCCAAAGCAGAUGGCCUCAGUCAGGCAGGUGUCUCCCUGGAGGGCAGAUCCCAGCUCUAACUCAUACACCUACUGCAAGUGUUUCUGAGGCUUAGGGAAAGCCACCCUGCCGAGGACCUGGGUAUUUGGCUAGGCCUGUCAGCACGGGGAAUGCAGCCCUCAGGAACGCCAGCAGAGAAUGCCUGGUUUGCUCAGUAAUUGCAUUGCCUGGGAAAUGGCUGUCAGUCUGAGCAAGUUCCUCCUGGCCUUCGUUUGACUGGUCUCAGAAGUGACUUUCUGUUCCUGCUUCAGUAUUCUUUCUUUUUAAUAUACACUACCAGAACAGAGCACAGUGUUCUUGACAGUAUCAUGCCAGACACAAGGACAGUGGUAUUAAUCCAUUCUAAACUAUGUUAGGAAUAUUGCUCCCAAGACCUCUUAUGGCCUUGUUUUCCAUGUCAUGUUGGCAGCUCUUCUGGGGUCAGCUACUGUGUGCAGUGAGACUUCCCUCUCUCACUUCUCUCCCAAACUUCAAAGAAGGUUGGUCAGGGUCUACCUUUCUUUGCUGUCCCUUCUGUAUAAAAUGUAGGGACUGCAGACAAAACUAGCUGGUGAUAAAUGCAAAACAACGAAGAGAGGUAAUUAGUGUCAUGUCAGAGAAAUACAGAAUGGCUCGGGUUGGAAGGGACCUUAAAGAUUACCAGGCUCCAACCCCACUGCUGUAGGUUUAUUGCCUCCAAUUAGAUCAGGCUGCCCAGGGCCUCAUUCAGCCUGACCUUGAAUAUCUCCAGGGAUGGGGCAUCCACAACUUCUCUGGGCAGUCUGUUCCAGGGCCUCACCACUCUGAGUAAAUAAUCUCCUCCUCAUGUUUUACCUAAAUCUCCCCUCUCUUAGUUUAAAACCAUCCCACCUUGUCCUAUUCCUACAUCCCCUGACAAAGAAUCAGUCAUCAGCCUCCUAGAGCCAUAUUGAGGAACUAUAAUCUUGUGGAGAUGAACAACAUCAUCCAUACUUUGCAUUUGAAAUGUUAGAAUUUGAGCUCACACGUCCUCAGUGAUGGCAGAGCAACACUUACAGUGAUCAGUACAAACAGGGAAAAGUCCAGCGAUGUAAGAGGUACAGAAGCAUUUGUCAGAUUAGGUUUGAGAGCAAGUCCUUGUGUUGAGCCUUCAGCUCAAACCAUAAAGGCUUUGAAAGUGUAUUUGGUAGAGCAGAAUGAAUUCAGUAUAUCCCGCUGCUUUUAAGAAAUAUUUGUUCAAGAAAUAGUAAUCUCUGCAUACUGUGAGAAAUUAGGGCCCAAUGGAUUCCAUACAGUAUAAACCAGAAGCACCAACCUCACCUUCAACCUGACCCUGCUUGUCUUCUGUAAAAAAAAUUGCAUCUCUCAUUAAAAAAUAUUUAAUGUGUUUUUCAGCAGAGGAUUUCUUUCAAGGGUUCAUGCUGCAGCUGUCGAAUAGCAGUGAGAAAAUGUAGGUUUCAAGUUUUUAUUACUUGUGUGUGUGUUUGCGUUUAUCCUUAAUUGCAACAAAACAGAUGUCAUUUCUUAAGAGUGGGAGAAAAAACAGAAGGGUCCUAAAUAUUUUCCUACAGCAC
ensembl:lncRNA